GGCCUCCCAGUGUCCUGGGAUUACAGGCAUGAAUCACUCCGCCCAGCUGGAUUUUUCAGUUAAGAACACCGUUGGUGAUCUUAGGUAGAUUAGAACCAGAGAAGCAUUAGAAACAAAAGCCAAAUUCAGCCCACCAACAAAUGAGGAAUCAGAGAAGGAAAGGAAUCAGAGAAGCUUCUAGAGGCUACCCACAUUCCUGGGCUAAUGGCCCCUUCCUACAUCUUCAAAGCCAGCAGUGGUGGGCUGAGUCUUUCUCCUGGUAUCAUCUCUUCAUUCUCUAUCUCCCUCUCCCAAUUUUAAGGACCUCUGUGAUUAUAUUGGGCACCUGGAUAUUGCAGGAUACGCUCUCUAUUUUAAGGCUAUGCUCCGUAAAGAGAGUGCCUCCUCUAGAAUCACAAGACCUAAGCAUGAAUCUUCCUUUGAAGGAUAAAAUGGAAGGAAAAAAACUGGAUGAGGAAAAGAAGAGUGGGGAAUAGAAAGAGAGAGAGAGAGAAAGAUGGAUAAAUUUUUAAAGUUACUAUAAUAAAAAUCUUCUACAACGAAACUAUAAUUGUUGAU
rnacentral:lncRNA from 1 species